CCAUGCCACUGGGUCGUGAGCUCGCCUGCGUAUGGGGGGGUGUCAUGGAGCCUCAUGCCCCUGGGUCGUGAGCUCGCCUGCGUAUGGGGGGGUGUCAUGGAGCCUCAUACCCCUGGGUCGUGAGCUCGCCUGCGUAUGGGGGGAUGUCAUGGAGCCUCAUACCCCUGGGUUGUGAGCUCGCCUGCGUAUGGGGGUCUGUCAUGGAACAUCCCAAGUCUGUGCAGCAGGGAGCCCCAUGCCCCUGGGACAUGAACCCACCUGCGUGGAAUGCUGUUUGUGAGGUGCCUACAGGGCUUAUAGUAGUCUUACGGACACAGAAAUGCACAGGGGACACUUAUGGACACAGAAAUGCACAGGGGAGGCCGAGCAUAAAUGGGUGAGGGGCAGGCAGCAGUUGUCACUGCCAUGGGGCACUGCUACAUGCAGGGACAGCCAGCGCCCAGCCCAUCACCACUCCCUGGGCUGGCUGGCAGGUAUGGCACCCUGGGAGCCCGGCAUAUGCCCAGGGCACCCCUACAGCUGCCGCCAGUGUCAUGCCCAGGCGGAUGCUCUGGGCUGGAGCGAGGGCCAGGUUUUGGGUCGAGGCUUCCCCAGGCAAUCCUGCGAGCUCCCUUCUAGCCUCUGACCCAGUCUGGUCUGGCUUGCAUGGAUGUAGGGCUUGGGAUGGGAAGUUCAGGUCCUGGCUUUGCCUUUGACUGAUGUGGAUGAGCAGCUCACAUGCUCAGGGCCAUCUGAGACUGUCACUGUUGUCCCCUGGCUAUUGGGAGGAGUCACUGAGAGCUUCGUUACCCCUGCUGCCUUGCUCAGGGCACACCCUGUACCUCCUCAUCUGCUCUUCCUCCCCCGCCGCCGCCUCCUGGGCAAGUGGCGCUCCCUGGCCUCUUCCCCUGGCUGAUCGCCCUCCCCCAGGCAGUGGAGAUCCGCGUCUGGACACCCUCAGAGCCUGUCAUUUCCUGCCCAGAGUCCUUCAGGGCCACCCCUCUGCCUUGGUGUGGGGUCCAGGGCUCUCACCCAGGUGCCGCGCCAUCUGGGGUCUCCUGUCCAGCUCCCUUGCCCCACGUGCUGUCACUGACUCUCCUUGGGACUCGCCUGCCUGCUCAGAGCCCUGCAGGGCCUGGUCAGCUGCCUGUUGAGUGUCAGCACUUCGCUGCACCUCUUAGAACUGGGCUUUAUUUUUGCUGAAGGAACUGUGUUGGGACCCUUGACAUCUGUCAGGUUUGCACACGCUGUUUUCUUUCUCAGCCCACGUGUUCUCCCCCACAUGGGGCAGCAGCAGGACAGAGAGUGAAUCACAGAGUCUGCCCUGAGCAGAGGCUGCUGUCCCUGGGACUCCUAGCCACGGUCAGAUCACUGUACACAACAGUUUUCCAGAAAUGAAAUGUAAAUCCAUUUUUAUACUGAAAAUGUUACUGAAAGUCACUUUUAUGAGCAACUACCUUAAUAAACAGACAUCGACUCCCUUAUCA